AUGGGACUAGAUGGACCCAUUCCCCAGGGGAUGAAGCUGCAGGAUGUAUCACUGUGUCUUGUGUUCGGCGGAGGGACCAAGGUGACCGUCUUAGGUCAGCCCAAGUCCGCACCCACCGUCACUCUGUUCCCGCCCUCCUCUGAGGAGCUCAGCACCAACAAGGCCACCUUGGUGUGUCUGGUCAAUGACUUCUACCCCGGCGCGGUGACCGUGGCCUGGAAGGCGGACGGAAAGACCAUCAGCCAGGGCGUGGAGACCACCCAGGCCACCAAGCAGAGCAACAGCAAGUAUGCGGCCAGCAGCUACCUGAGCCUGACCUCCAGCCAGUGGAAAAGCCACCAGAGUGUCACCUGCCAGGUCACGCACGAGGGCAGCACCGUGGAGAAGACAGUGGACACCAAAGCCUGCUCUUAGGCCCC